rnacentral:rRNA from 1 species
UUGACCUCGGAUCAGGUAGGGAUACCCGCUGAACUUAAGCAUAUCAAUAAGCGGAGGAAAAGAAACCAACAGGGAUUGCCCUAGUAACGGCGAGUGAAGCGGCAAGAGCUCAAAUUUGAAAUCUGGCUCUUUCAGGGUCCGAGUUGUAAUUUGUAGAGGGCGCUUUGGCGUCGGCUACGGCCUAAGUUCCUUGGAACAGGACGUCACAGAGGGUGAGAACCCCGUACGUGGCCGCUGGCCUUCGCCGUGUAAAGCCCCUUCGACGAGUCGAGUUGUUUGGGAAUGCAGCUCUAAAUGGGAGGUAAAUUUCUUCUAAAGCUAAAUACUGGCCAGAGACCGAUAGCGCACAAGUAGAGUGAUCGAAAGAUGAAAAGCACUUUGGAAAGAGAGUCAAAAAGCACGUGAAAUUGUUGAAAGGGAAGCGCUUGCAGCCAGACUUGCCUGUAGUUGCUCAUCCGAGCUCCCGCUCGGUGCACUCUUCUGCGGGCAGGCCAGCAUCAGUCCGGGCGGUCGGAUAAAGGCCUCGGGAAUGUAGCUCCCCUCGGGGAGUGUUAUAGCCCGGGGUGCCAUGCGACCAGCCUGGACUGAGGUCCGCGCAUCUGCUAGGAUGCUGGCGUAAUGGCUGUAAGCGGCCCGUCUUGAAACACGGACCAAGGAGUCUAACAUCUAUGCGAGUGUUUGGGUGUCAAGCCCGGGCGCGCAAUGAAAGUGAACGGAGGUGGGAACCCCUCGGGGCGCACCAUCGACCGAUCCUGAUGUCUUCGGAUGGAUUUGAGUAAGAGCAUAGCUGUUGGGACCCGAAAGAUGGUGAACUAUGCCUGAAUAGGGUGAAGCCAGAGGAAACUCUGGUGGAGGCUCGCAGCGGUUCUGACGUGCAAAUCGAUCGUCAAAUUUGGGCAUAGGGGCGAAAGACUAAUCGAACUAUCUAGUAGCUGGUUCCUGCCGAAGUUUCCCUCAGGAAA